GGCUUUACAUAAGAACGGCUGUUCUGGGUCAGACCAAUGAUCCAUCUAGCCCAGUAUCCUGUCUUCUGACAGUGGCCAAAGCCAGAUGCUUCAGAGGGAAUGACCAGAACAGGGCAGUUUUGAGUGAUCCAUCCCCUGUCACCCCUUGCCAG